UGCUGCAGGCGGUCCUGGAUUUGCCGGUCUCUGAAGUAGCGCAGGAUGCCACACGGGAGCUCCGCCUCUUCCUGCUGUCCCCAGAGGAGCUGACCACCCUGGAAAGGGAGAAUGCCAAGGACAAGCUGAUCCCUGAGAUCCAGAUCGCCCAAUCCUGGAAAUUCCACGCCCU